AUAUACGACCGUACCGCAAACCGACACUGGUGCGCGAGAUGAGUAUUCUAAGGCGCUUGAGAGAACUCAGGAGAAGGAACUCGGCAAAUUGACACCGUAACUUCGGAAGAAGGUGUGCCCUAUUAGUGUGUAGUGAACAACGAAGCAUGAAUGGGUUGCAAAAAAUCGGUGGCUGCGACUGUUUAUUAAAAACACAGCACUCUGCAAACACGAAAGUGGACGUAUAGGGUGUGACGCCUGCCCGGUGCUGGAAGAUUAAAUGAUGGGGUGCAAGCUCUUGAUUGAAGUCCCAGUAAACGGCGGCCGUAACUAUAACGGUCCUAAGGUAGCGAAAUUCCUUGUCGGGUAAGUUCCGACCUGCACGAAUGGCGUAGCGAUGGCCACACUGUCUCCUCCUGAGACUCAGCGAAGUUGAAAUGUUUGUGAUGAUGCAAUCUCCCCGCGGAAAGACGGAAAGACCCCAUGAACCUUUACUGUAGCUUUGUAUUGGACUUUGAACAGAUCUGUGUAGGAUAGGUGGGAGGCUUUGAAGCAGGGUCGCUAGAUCUUGUGGAGCCAACGUUGAAAUACCACCCUGGUGUGUUUGAGGUUCUAACCUAGGUCCAUUAUCUGGAUCGGGGACAGUGCAUGGUAGGCAGUUUGACUGGGGCGGUCUCCUCCCAAAGCGUAACGGAGGAGUUCGAAGGUACGCUAGUUACGGUCGGACAUCGUGACGAUAGUGCAAUGGCAUAAGCGUGCUUAACUGCGAGACUGACAAGUCGAGCAGAUGCGAAAGCAGGACAUAGUGAUCCGGUGGUUCUGUAUGGAAGGGCCAUCGCUCAACGGAUAAAAGGUACUCUGGGGAUAACAGGCUGAUACCGCCCAAGAGUUCAUAUCGACGGCGGUGUUUGGCACCUCGAUGUCGGCUCAUCUCAUCCUGGGGCUGUAGCCGGUCCCAAGGGUAUGGCUGUUCGCCAUUUAAAGAGGUACGUGAGCUGGGUUUAAAACGUCGUGAGACAGUUUGGUCCCUAUCUUCCGUGGGCGCUGCAGAUUUGAGGAAGCCUGCUCCUAGUACGAGAGGACCGGAGUGGACACACCUCUGGUGUAUCGGUUGUCACGCCAGUGGCAUUGCCGAGUAGCUAAGUGUGGAAGAGAUAACCGCUGAAAGCAUCUAAGCGGGAAACUCGUUUCAAGAUGAGAUCUGCCGGGGCCUUGAGCCCCCUAAAGAGUCGUUCAAGACCAGGACGUUGAUAGGUCAGGUGUGGAAGUG
rnacentral:rRNA from 1 species